UAAUACUCCAUAGAUUAGAGACACUGGAAUGUUCUUUAGUCGAAAGUUCUGGCGCCUUAGGAUGGAUCUGCGGUCGAUUAGGUUGUUGUUGGGGUAACGGCCCAACAAGCCUGUAAUCGAUACGGGUUGUGGGAGCAAGAGCCCGGAGAUGGAAUCUGAGACACGAUUCCAGGCCCUACGGGGCGCAGCAGGCGCGAAAACUUUACAAUGCAGGAAACUGUGAUAAGGGAACUCCGAGUGCCCGUAUACGCGGGCUGUCCAGGUGUUUAAAAAUCAUCUGAAGAAAGGGCCGGGCAAGACCGGUGCCAGCCGCCGCGGUAAUACCGGCGGCUCGAGUGGUGGCCACUAUUAUUGGGCUUAAAGCGUCCGUAGCUGGACCGAUAAGUCUCUUGGGAAAUUCGCCGGCUCAACCGGCGGGCGUCUAAGGGAUACUGUUAGUCUAGGGACCGGGAGAGGUGAGAGGUACUCCGGGGGUAGGAGUGAAAUCCUGUAAUCCCCGGGGGACCACCGAUGGCGAAGGCAUCUCACCAGAACGGCUCCGACAGUGAGGGACGAAAGCUGGGGGAGCGAACCGGAUUAGAUACCCGGGUAGUCCCAGCCGUAAACUAUGCGCGUUAGGUGU
rnacentral:rRNA from 1 species